rnacentral:rRNA from 1 species
UGCCACAGUCAUAUCACCCUGCAGCGUAAGACUGGUUACUGAAGCUAAGCAGGGCUGACCCUACUCAGUACCUGAAUGGGAAACCAGACGGGAAAACUAGGUUUCUGUUGAAU